UUGGGGGUGAUUUUGGCCAUUUUUGGGGUUCCCAGAUCCGCAAUUUGGCCGCGCUUUUGCUCCGGCGGUUCCUGAGGAAACUUCCGGCGGAAAUGAUUGACAGGCUCCCACAGGUUUUGGUCGAGGCCUUGGACCGAGAGACGGAGAGGAGCUGCCAGCGGGCUCUGGGCCAUCUCGGGGCGCGGCUGCUGCUCCGGGGGGGGCCCCGGCUUUGGGAGCCUCUCGAGCUCUGGGCCCGGGAGGCGGCAAAAACCCCCAAAAUCC